UGGGGGAUUUUGGACAAUGGGGGAAACCCUGAUCCAGCCAUCCCGCGUGUGCGAUGAAGGCCUUCGGGUUGUAAAGCACUUUUGGCAGGAAAGAAACGUCGCGGGUUAAUACCCCGCGAAACUGACGGUACCUGCAGAAUAGGCACCGGCUAACUACGUGCCAGCAGCCGCGGUAAUACGUAGGGUGCAAGCGUUAAUCGGAAUUACUGGGCGUAAAGCGUGCGCAGGCGGUUCGGAAAGAAAGAUGUGAAAUCCCAGAGCUUAACUUUGGAACUGCAUUUUUAACUACCGGGCUAGAGUGUGUCAGAGGGAGGUGGAAUUCCGCGUGUAGCAGUGAAAUGCGUAGAUAUGCGGAGGAACACCGAUGGCGAAGGCAGCCUCCUGGGAUAACACUGACGCUCAUGCACGAAAGCGUGGGGAGCAAACAGGAUUAGAUACCCUGGUAGUCCACGCCCUAAACGAUGUCAACUAGCUGUUGGGGCCUUCGGGCCUUGGUAGCGCAGCUAACGCGUGAAGUUGACCGCCUGGGGAGUACGGUCGCAAGAUUAAAACUCAAAGGAAUU
rnacentral:rRNA from 1 species